AACGAACGCUGGCGGCGUGGAUAAGACAUGCAAGUCGAACGAGGUGCAACAUUUCGGUGUAGCAUUUAGUGGCGAACGGGUGAGUAACACGUGAGUGACCUGCCUCUAAGUUGGGGAUAGCCCUGGGAAACCGGGAUUAAUACCCGAUAGGCUCGAAAGAGUAAAGGAGAAAUCCGCUUAGAGAGGGGCUCGCGUCCUAUUAGUUAGUUGGUGAGGUAAUGGCUCACCAAGGCGAUGACGGGUAGCCGGUCUGAGAGGAUGUCCGGCCACACUGGAACUGAGACACGGUCCAGACACCUACGGGUGGCAGCAGUCGAGAAUCAUUCACAAUGGACGAAAGUCUGAUGGUGCGACGCCGCGUGGGGGAGGAAGGCCUUCGGGUUGUAAACCCCUGUCAUGUGGGAGCAAGACGUAAGUUUGAUAGUACCACAAGAGGAAGAGACGGCUAACUCUGUGCCAGCAGCCGCGGUAAUACAGAGGUCUCAAGCGUUGUUCGGAAUCACUGGGCGUAAAGGGUACGUAGGCGGCGCCAUAAGUCGUGCGUGAAAGGCAAGGGCUCAACCCUUGGAGUGCGCAUGAUACUGUGGUGCUAGAGCGAUGGAGAGGGAACUGGAAUUCUUGGUGUAGCAGUG
rnacentral:rRNA from 1 species